rnacentral:rRNA from 1 species
UACGAAGGGUGCAAGCGUUAUUCGGAGUUACUGGGCGUAAAGAGCGUGUAGGCGGAUAGUUAAGUUAUCUGUCAAAUCUCCCGGCUUAACCGGGAACAAGCAGAUAAAACUGGCAGUCUAGAGUGUAAGAGAGAGAAGUAGAAUUCUUGGAGUAGCGGUAAAAUGCGUAGAUCUCAAGAGGAAUACCGAAGGCGAAGGCAGCUUCUUGGCUUACAACUGACGCUAAAGCGCGAAAGCGUGGGGAGCAAACAGG